rnacentral:rRNA from 1 species
GAUGAACGCUGGCGGCGUGCCUAAUACAUGCAAGUCGAGCGAACAGACGAGGAGCUUGCUCCUCUGACGUUAGCGGCGGACGGGUGAGUAACACGUGGAUAACCUACCUAUAAGACUGGGAUAACUUCGGGAAACCGGAGCUAAUACCGGAUAAUAUAUUGAACCGCAUGGUUCAAUAGUGAAAGACGGUUUUGCUGUCACUUAUAGAUGGAUCCGCGCCGCAUUAGCUAGUUGUUAAGGUAACGGCUUACCAAGGCGACGAUGCGUAGCCGACCUGAGAGGGUGAUCGGCCACACUGGAACUGAGACACGGUCCAGACUCCUACGGGAGGCAGCAGUAGGGAAUCUGCCGCAAAGGGCGAAAGCCUGACGGAGCAACGCCGCGUGAGUGAUGAAGGUCUUCGGAUCGUAAAACUCUGUUAUUAGGGAAGAACAAAUGUGUAAGUAACUAUGCACGUCUUGACGGUACCUAAUCAGAAAGCCACGGCUAACUACGUG